AGCCCUGUCUCUGAGCCCUGAAAAAUCCCCACAAGAGGUGCUGGACAGACAGCAUCAGGGUAGGCCUCCCUGUCCCCUCACUGGGCCUCAACCCUUCCCUGAAGGGGUCACCCUUAGUGAUGAGAGAGGAAUUCAGUCUCCAUGGGUUUCCUUGGUCCCU
ensembl:misc_RNA